rnacentral:rRNA from 1 species
GACGAACCGUGCGAACGUUAUUCGGAAUCACUGGGCUUAAAGCGCGUGUAGGCGGGACGGCACGUCGGUCGCUGAAAUCCCCCGGCUCAACCGGGGAACGGGCGCCGAUACGACCGCCCUGGAGGGACGUAGGGGGACCUGGAACUUCCGGUGGAGCGGUGAAAUGCGUUGAGAUCGGAAGGAACGCCCGUGGCGAAAGCGAGGUCCUGGACGUUUUCUGACGCUGAGACGCGAAAGCCAGGGGAGCGAACGGG